rnacentral:tmRNA from 1 species
GGGGCUGUUUAGCUUCGACGUUGAAUCUUGAAAUAUGAUUGCGAGUCGGUUUGGAAAUACACGUUAGCUGUUUCCAUCUUUAACAAAUGCAAAAUCAUUUGUAGAGCGUUUGGUUAAUGCCGUAAAGGCACCAGCCUACGCACCAGCUUUUGCUUAAUUUGCACUGGCCAUCGAGCCUUCAAUAUCUGAUAGAAGGAAUUCGGUGUAAUUUAUCAGAUUGCAGUAGAACUUCUUGCUAGGUUCUAAUCAAGUCUUUUAUAGCGAGCAAGUUUAGGGCUUAUUGCGCUAGUCUAUAGAGCACUAAAUUUGUAAAACUUAUAAGAUUAGCUACGCUCGUAGAAGUCAUAUUGGAAAGUUUAGCGGACGUGGGUGCAAUUCCCGCCAGCUCCACCA